AUCUCUACUUACCACCAAUCUUCUUGUUUGAGGAUUAUACAACUUUUAGGCUUUGGAUUUCUCACUAUAUCUCAUGAACACAUUUUUUUUUCAAUGCUCAUCAAGCUUCCUUUGUCUUCUGGUAGAGAACUCCCCACUAGGUAAGCCAAUUUUCCAUGCUCAUCAAGCUUCAUUUGUCUUCCGGUAGAGAACUCCUCACUUGACUUAAAUUUUUUGUCAACACCAAAGGAACCAGAGGCGGCAUCAGAGCUUCAAGCUUCCUUUGUCUUCUGGUAGAGAACUCUGCACUAGGGAAGUCAAUUUUCCAUGCUCAGCUUCAUUUGUCUUCUGGUAGAGAACUUCACACUGGGAUUAGUUCCAGUAUGUUUCAAACUUAAAUUUUUUGUGAACACCAAAGGAACCGAGGGCGGUAUCAGAGCUUCACUAUGAUCUAAAAAAUCAUGGCUUCUAACCUAGUGCAACUCCAUGUACUUAUGCUAACUAAAGACAACUAUAGAAAAUGGUGCAUUCAAUUCAAGGCAUUAUUCGGCUUACAGGACCUAUGGGAUAUUGUUGACAUUUGUUAUAUGGAUCCUACUCCAGAAGAAGAAGAGGCUUAUAUUCCAGAACAGAAGAAUACUUUCAAGGACGAACAUUGUUGAAGAAUUCAACAAUAUCGAACACGAACCAACACUUUUGUUCGUUCAUAAUGCAUCAAAGUUGACAGUUGUUGGAAGAAAGGAAGUCUUCGUUUGGGAGAUGACAGUUUCUAGAACACAUAAUGCAUCUAUGUGUGGUACCUAGACACAGAUGCAAGUAACCACAUGUGUACCAGAAGAAAGGAAGUCUUCGUUGUCUUUAGUACAUACUGAUUUCUUUAUGGUUAAAAAAAAUUAUGUUUGAAACAAAACAGGAUACUCUUG